GACGAACGCUGGCGGCGUGCUUAACACAUGCAAGUCGAGCGGAAAGGCCCUUUGGGGUACUCGAGCGGCGAACGGGUGAGUAACACGUGAGCAACCUGCCCUAGGCUUUGGGAUAACCCUCGGAAACGGGGGCUAAUACCGGAUAGGACCUCCUGCCGCAUGGUGGGGGGUGGAAAGUUUUUCGGCUUGGGAUGGGCUCGCGGCCUAUCAGCUUGUUGGUGGGGUGAUGGCCUACCAAGGCGGUGACGGGUAGCCGGCCUGAGAGCGCGACCGGCCACACUGGGACUGAGACACGGCCCAGACUCCUACGGGAGGCAGCAGUGGGGAAUAUUGCACAAUGGGCGGAAGCCUGAUGCAGCGACGCCGCGUGAGGGAUGACGGCCUUCGGGUUGUAAACCUCUUUCAGCAGGGACGAAGCGUGAGUGACGGUACCUGCAGAAGAAGCGCCGGCCAACUACGUGCCAGCCGCCGCGGUAAUAC
rnacentral:rRNA from 1 species